AACGCUGGCGGCAUGCCUAACACAUGCAAGUCGAACGGCAGCACAGAGGAGCUUGCUCCUUGGGUGGCGAGUGGCGGACGGGUGAGUAAUGCAUCGGGAUCUACCCUGACGUGGGGGAUAACCUCGGGAAACCGGGACUAAUACCGCAUACGUCCUACGGGAGAAAGCGGGGGACCUUUCAGGCCUCGCGCGGCAGGACGAACCGAUGUGCGAUUAGCUAGUUGGCGGGGUAAUGGCCCACCAAGGCGACGAUCGCUAGCUGGUCUGAGAGGAUGAUCAGCCACACUGGGACUGAGACACGGCCCAGACUCCUACGGGAGGCAGCAGUGGGGAAUAUUGGACAAUGGGCGCAAGCCUGAUCCAGCAAUGCCGCGUGUGUGAAGAAGGCCUUCGGGUUGUAAAGCACUUUUAUCAGGAGCGAAAUCUGCAUGCUUAAUACGUGUGCAGUCUGACGGUACCUGAGGAAUAAGCACCGGCUAACUUCGUG
rnacentral:rRNA from 1 species